GGAGCAGGCCGGGCAGCCGCUGCGGGUCCCGUGCGUACGGCGGGACGGCCCGCAGAGGAAAGUCCGGGCACCACAGGGCAGGGCGCUGGGUAACGCCCAGUGGGGGCGACCCCAAGGACAGUGCCACAGAAACAUACCGCCGGCCGCUCGGCCGGUAAGGGUGCAAUCGUGCGGUAAGAGCGCACGGCGUGCCGGGUGACCGGCGCGCGGGCAAACCCCGCCCGGUGCAAGGCCAUGUAGGGGGAGAUGAGGCGGCCCGCCGUAUCCCCGGGUAGGCCGCUACCAGGCGUCUGGCAACAGGCGCCGCAGAGAGAUGGCUGCCGCCGCCCACCCGGCGGUACAGAACCCGGCUUACAGGCCUGCUCCCGCA
rnacentral:RNase_P_RNA from 1 species